GCCGGUGUGAUGGAAUUGGCAGACGUGCUGGACUCAAAAUCCAGUGGUAGCAAUACCGUGCGGGUUCGACCCCCGCCUUCGGCACCA
rnacentral:tRNA from 1 species